rnacentral:rRNA from 1 species
UCAGGAUGAACGCUGGCGGCGUGCUUAACACAUGCAAGUCGAACGGAGUUUUAACGGAAGUUUCGGAUGGAAGUUUAGAACUUAGUGGCGGACGGGUGAGUAACGCGUGGGUAACCUGCCUCAUACAGGGGGAUAACAGUUAGAAAUGACUGCUAACACCGCAUAAUAUAGCGAAACCGCAUGAUUUUGCUAUCAAAUAUUUAUAGGUAUGAGAUGGGCCCGCGUCUGAUUAGCUAGUUGGUGGGGUAAAAGCCUACCAAGGCGACGAUCAGUAGCCGGCUUGAGAGAGUGACCGGCCACAUUGGGACUGAGACACGGCCCAAACUCCUACGGGAGGCAGCAGUGGGGAAUAUUGGACAAUGGGGGAAACCCUGAUCCAGCGAACCGCCGCGUGAGUGAAGAAGUAUUUCGGUAUGUAAAGCUCUAUCAGCAGGGAAGAUAAUGACAGUACCUGACUAAGAAGCCCCGGCUAACUACGUGCCAGCCGCUGC